GAGUUUGAUCGUGGCUCUAGAACGAACGCUGGCGGCAGGCCUCAAACAUGCAAGUCUAGGGGGUGUAGCAAUACAUCACCGGCGGACGGGUGCGUAACACGUGGGAAUAUACCUUUUGGUUCGGAACAACGCAGGGAAACUUGCGCUAAAUACCGAAUGUGCCCUUACGGGGGAAAGAUUUAUCGCCAAAGGAUUAGCCCGCGUCCGAUUAGCUAGUUGGUGAGGUAAUGGCUCGACCAAGGCUCCCGAUCGGUAGCUGUUCUGAGAGGAAGAUCAGCCACACUGGGACUGAGACACGGCCCAGACUCCUACGGGAGGCAGCAGUUGGGAAUCUUGGACAAUGGGGGAAACCCUGAUGCAGCGACGCCGCGUGAGUGAUGAAGCCCUUCGGGGUGUAAACUCUUUCGACGGAACGAUAAUGACGGUACCCGAAGAAGAAGCUGCGGCUAACUACGUGCCAGCAGCC
rnacentral:rRNA from 1 species